AGAAUUUUUAUAAGUCACGGAUUAUUUUAAAAUCACAAAUCAUAAAUUUUAUAGGUCACAGUUUAUUUCGAAGUCACAAAUCUUAAAAUUACAAGUCGCGGAUUAUCAAAAUUCUAGGUUACAAUUAACCAGCUGGUUAGAGAUAACUAAAUGGGUGGUCACAUAAACCAAAUAGUGGUCACAUACCACCAUCACCAACGCUAACACACCACUACUACCAUCACAACCACCCUCACCCCGUUAUCAUCGUCGCUACCACAACAGUAUCAUUUCCAAACCACCAAAAAAAUUGUCCCAAAGCUACCUAUCACUUGUUGUUGUCUUCCGACUAGAUCGAGUCAUUGUGACAUUGCCGGCUACACAAACAUUCUCAAAAUUACCACUGGACACAACACCCACCACCACCCCACCCAUCAAUAACACUAUCUUAAAAAUCACAUUUUCAAAAUCACCACACCACCGUCUAGUCAUCCAACAGAAUCGAUAAAAGUCUAAUCCACCUUCAGCUAAAGAAAAGCUAGAUUCCCCAACUUUAAUUACAAUAGAUCUGUCCCUAUCCACCUCUUCGCAGCCUGAGAAACGCAAAGCCCAUUUAGCGCCUGCUUUAGAGACACUGACUAAGAAAAUCCAAUUCUCUGUGAAUGAGAUCCAUCAACCCUCAUUGGCUUCUUCGAGGGACUUUUUUGCAAGACCAAGAGAUUCGGACUCACUGUUUGUGGCAGCACUUGCACUUGCACUUGCGCUCACGACGACGAAGGUAUUGGCCAGCACAAAAAAGAGAACAAGGAUCGAAGAGAGAUGGAGAAGAAGUCCAUUUGAGAGAGAGAGAGAGAGGCGAGAAGUGAGAGAAAGAAAAAAAGAUGAAAAUGAUUAGGGUUUGGAAGUUCAAUUUGAU
rnacentral:lncRNA from 1 species